AAAAUGGAAGAAGGAAGUGGCCGAGAGUUGCAGCCAACCAUGGCCGAAUAGAAAGCAAGCUUGGGCGAGCAAACGGCCGAUGUAAUCGAGGAGGAGCUAGAAGCAAUGCUUGUGGCCGGAGGCAGCCACAAGAAAAGUCGAGAUGGUAACCGAAGCUGUCCGUGGUAGGCAAACAGCAUCCAUGGCCGCAAGCUGCAGCCAUGGAUGCACAUGCGGAAGGCGAGGAGCGACGAGGAGGAGGCUGGCCAGUGGUUGUGUGAGGUCCAGAUAACCGGAAGUGGCUGAGAGGCUGAUUGGAGGAGGCCGGGAUGAACCGCAACAGCAAGCGGCAGCCAUGGCCGCAAGCUGUUGCAGCUGGGCAGCAAACAGGGAGGCCAGCAACGGCCCCCAACGAUGGCUCGGCAAGGUGGGUGGUGACUAGCAGGGUCGGUGGAGGUCAAGGACGUAGCUGGUGUGACCGGAGAUGGCCGUUGGCAUGCGGGCAGCCGUGGCUGGGUGGCUGGUUCGCUCGCGGGAAACAGAGAAGAAGAAGCAGGGGAGAAGAAAGAAAGAAGAAGAAGAGAAGAAAAGAAAAGAAAAAAAAAAAAAGAAAAAAAAAAAAAGGAAAAUAGAAGAAAUGGAGAAAAAGGAAAGAAAAAUAGGGAAAAAUCUCGAAAAAAAUCUUAGAAAAUUCAAAGGAUUAAUUUGAGGCUAAAGGAGCAUGCCAAAGCUAGGAAAUUAUUCAAAACGCGCAUUUUAAGGCUUAGCACGCAUUACGAGGCUAAAUUGACUUUUCGCAUAAGCCAGGGACUGCUGCGAAGGCAAGGAUGUGGCCGGUUGAGGGCCAAUGGUGCUUAGUUUGUUAGUCGUUGUAACGUUUGGAGGCUUUAGUAUGUAUUUCAGGUUGUAAAUGAACAGUUGUAUAAUAGCGAUUUUAUCAUUUGAUCUGUAUUAAGUAUUUUGCUAUGGAAAUACAAUGGUGUUUUGGUAUUA